rnacentral:rRNA from 1 species
CCCUUAGAUGUUCUGGGCCGCACGCGCGCUACACUGACAGGGCCAGCGAGUACAUCACCUUAACCGAGAGGUUUGGGUAAUCUUGUUAAACCCUGUCGUGCUGGGGAUAGAGCAUUGCGAUUAUUGCUCUUCAACGAGGAAUGCCUAGUAGGCACGAGUCAUCAGCUCGUGCCGAUUACGUCCCUGCCCUUUGUACACACCGCCCGUCGCUACUACCGAUUGAAUGGCUCAGUGAGGCCUUGGGAUUGGCUUAGGAGGGUUGGCAACGACCCCCCAGAGCCGAAAACUUGGUCAAACUCGGUCAUUUAGAGGAAGUAAAAGUCGUAACA